rnacentral:rRNA from 1 species
AGUGAACGCUGGCGGUAGGCCUAACACAUGCAAGUCGAACGGCAGCACAGUAAGAGCUUGCUCUUCCGGGUGGCGAGUGGCGGACGGGUGAGGAAUACAUCCGAAUCUACUUUUUCGUGGAGGAUAACGUAGGGAAACUUACGCUAAUACCGCAUACGACCUACGGGUGAAAGCAGGGGAUCUUCGGACCUUGCGCGAGUGAAUGAGCCGAUGUCGGAUUAGCUAGUUGGUGGGGUAACGGCCCACCAAGGCGACGAUCCGUAGCUGGUCUGAGAAGAUUAUCAGCCAGACUUGAACGGAUGCACGGUCCAGACUCCUACGAGAGGCAGCAGUUGCGAAUAUUGGACAAUGGGCGGAAGCCUGAUCCAGCCAUACCGCGUGGGUGAAGAAGGCCUUCGGUUUGUAAAGCCCUUUUGUUGGGAAAGAAAAGCAGCAUGUUAAUACCCCGCUGUUCUGACGGUACCCAAAGAAUAAGCACCGGCUAACUUCGUG